CAGCAACUCGACGAUAAAAUUGGUAAA
rnacentral:sRNA from 1 species